rnacentral:rRNA from 1 species
AUUGAACGCUGGCGGCAGGCUUAACACAUGCAAGUCGAGCGAGCGGCGGACGGGUGAGUAAUGUCUGGGAAACUGCCUGAUGGAGGGGGAUAACUACUGGAAACGGUAGCUAAUACCGCAUACCAUCAGAUGUGCCCAGAUGGGAUUAGCUAGUAGGUGGGGUAAUGGCUCACCUAGGCGACGAUCCCUAGCUGGUCUGAGGGGAUGACCAGCCACCCUGGAACGGAGACACGGUCCAAACUCCUACGGGAGGAAGCGAUGGGGAAUAUUGGAAAAUGGGCGGAAGCCUGAUGCAGCCAUGCCGCGUGUGUGAAGAAGGCCUUCGGGUUGUAAAGCACUUUCAGCGAGGAGGCGUUACUCGCAGAAGAAGCACCGGCUAACUCCGUGCCAGCCGCCGCGGUAAUUC